rnacentral:rRNA from 1 species
ACGCUCGACACCUACGGGGGGCAGCAGUGGGGAAUAUUGCACAAUGGGGGAAACCCUGAUGCAGCGACGCCGCGUGAGCGAAGAAGUAUUUCGGUAUGUAAAGCUCUAUCAGCAGGGAAGAAAAUGACGGUACCUGACUAAGAAGCCCCGGCUAACUACGUGCCAGCAGCCGCGGUAAUCUGAGCGGGCUGGCAAGGC